CCUUGACUUGUCGAAAGCGAAACGCCCCCUUUGCAUCACUUUCGGUUCACCCUUGAUCGGUGACGAACAACUCCGAAAAUGUGUGUUGGAAUUCUCAACAUGGAGUUCUUGCUUCUUGAAUGUAGCCUCCAUCAAUGAUCCUGUACCUAAAGUCUUCCUAACUUCGCAAGGGAGUGGUUAUAAGCCUUUCGGAACAUUCCUACUGUGCUCCUCUUCGGGUGGUUCUUGCAUUGAGGACGCUGAUGCCAUUUUGCAACUAUUGGUGGAAACCAGCUCUCAGUGUGUUCAAAAUCCAGUUCCGAAUUCAGGGACUCAGUUGUUUGAUUACGGAAAGAUUUUGAAUGAUCUCAAGACCAAGGCAUUGUUUAGAGAUGUCUUUGAGUUGGUUGAAGAGGAUAGAGUUCCACUUAAUGCUGGAAUUAAAACACAGUUGGCAGCAAUAUUAGGCGUUCUCAGCUCACAGGUAUCAAACUUUCAACAUGAAUAUCUGAUUUGAUGAUAGAUUUUGGGAAAUGGUUUCCGCACAAACCUGUGUAUUUCUAUCUCUUGAUUCUCCUUUGAUUUAUUUAAUCCAAAGACUAGAAAUAAACACGGGUGUGCAGGGGGAGAAUAUGAUUUUGCGGAAAUCACAUCCCAUGUUUACUUCUAGCUACUAACUUUUCUCUCAACUCCUUUUGUAAAAGUCAUUGCAGCAGCAACAACCCCACAUAAAAUUCGAGAGUCUGAUAAAAAAGAUGGUCAAUCACGAACGUAGACUAGCGAUGCAGAAGACGAAGGAUUACAGCUCCUUCUUGAAAUUGAAUGAGGUUAAAAAGUACAUGGCCAACAUGGAAUGGUACAAGAAGGAGUCCAAAGACAUGGGAAUUGGAUACUAUGACAGGUACAGAAACACGCGUUACCCGAGUGACAUUAAUGCCGAUGAGUUCAAGAAGAGGCUGUCAAUUUAUUGGCAUGACACGGUUACUGAAGCUGAGAGCAAACCACAGAAAGAAGGAGGCGCAAUGCGUAUCCGUUUUCUUUAUGGUGGAACGAAUUACAGAAGGAUGAUCGAACCGCUUCACAUUGCUGAGUACUACAGGGAAGGUGGAAAAAAUUACAAAGAGAAAAGGCCUCGACAUUUUGUUCUUUUGGAGCAAUGGUUCAAUGAGGAGGAGAAAAAGAAGAGGGAAAAGAAAGAGAGGGAAGAAAGGGAGAACCCGCAACAGCGCAGCGCAAGCAAGUCCAACCCAAAAGCGAACAGUGUGGCUUCUAGUCUGAAUGAUGAUUCUUGUUUUUGGGUGCACGUCGAGGAAGCACUUAUCUUGUGCGACGAACUAGCGAGUAAUCCACAUGCCAAGCAAAAGCUGAUCGAAUUUGAGUGUUACGUGCUGGAUACGCUCAAGAAUUUCGCAGUGACACCUGAUAUUUUCUUGCCGCAGAGCAGCUUCAUGCGAUGGUGGAACAAGUAUAAAGAGAUUGUGGGAAGUAGCUACUCCUCAGAACUCACAGAAGUCAUGAAGCGUCACACUUAUCGCAGGUAUGCCGAUGGGGUCUCAGUUCUUGCUGGUCUAUAAUCCAAGAUAAUUAAGUUUUAAGCAAUCAAUUAAAUCAGAUAAAGCAAGAUAAGUUUUGCUGUAUUCAUCACGAUCUUCAUAGAGAGAGACGUGCAGUACUUGCAGGACUUGUUGGUGCUACUACGUUUGAAUAUUUUUGUUUGUGGUUUCUUUUUGUUUUGGGCUCUAGCAUCUAGCUCUCUUGUAAGAAAAAUAAUGUGUGGGGGAGUUGUUUCAGUUAUAUUGUUGUAAUUUCCACUUCAUAAAAGUAAUGACGUUUGUUGUAUUUUGAUUUCACUAAGUUUGAGAACUACCCUAAUCAGCAUUUAUAAUAAGUUGAAAUUUACGUUUGUCGUGGUUUACGUUGUAUUACUCUUCAUAUACCUAUCAAGUACAAAAGCAGUAAAUACAUAUUUUAGCCAAGUGACUAAGUGUGGAACUGGGAUUCAAAGCUAAAGUAGAAUUACUUAUGUAUCCCAUAAUGUAUACCUUCUGAUGGCUUUUCACAUAGCACGCAACGUGUGAUUAAGGAACAAAAUGGUAUACACCUCGAGAUAGGUAAGUCCAUCAGCUAGUAAAUUAGCUUGAUGUAAUGUAGUCACGUGACGAGUAAGAACGAAGAAAUGAGUGUACAGCUUGGGACACAGUACAUAUAUAUAGUAAAACUACAUGUAUGUAUGCUUUGGGUGAGGCCGGCCAAGAGGGAUCUCCAUUUUUUUUUCAAAAAAUAGGAAUUAGUUGUGAGACUCACUCCACAUCGAGCUUCAACGGUCUGAACCGUUUAUUUAUUAAGAAGAAAUUAGGUUAUCAUCAUUCCUUUUGCUACUCCAUUAAUUAAAAUCCUAUUUUUUUUCAAUUUUUGAUCAAAGUCCUUGGGUAUUAAUAACAUCAUUAAUUAUUUCAAUAAUAAAAUAUUUUUUUAUUUCUUAAUAUAUUCAUUUAAUGUUAAAAAUGUUACAAUUAGUAUAUUUAUAUUUAUGACUAAAGUUUUUACCAUAUAUUUUUAGUUUUAGUUUGUACCCAUUUUUAAUUUGUAAUUCUUUUUUAAUUUGUACCAAUUUUCUUUUCAGUUUUAAUUUGUACCCAUAUAUUAAUUUCUUUUUGUGCCCAUAUUUUUUUAAAGUUUAUUUGUAUUUGUACCCAUAUAUUUUUUUUAUUUGUACUUUUUAUUUUGCUAAAUGUACCCAUGCUAAUUAUAUGUACCCAUUCAUGUAAAACUUUUUAAUCUUAAAAUGUACUCAUUCUUAAAUAUACCAAUUUGUUAUAUGUAAAAUGUACCUUUUUUAUAUAUAUAAAAUUUAUUCAAUUUUUUUCUAAUCUAUUUUAAACUUAUAUGGGUACAUUCUUUUUUCUUUGAUUUUAAAAUGUAUCCAUGUCAAGUUUAAUCGAAGAAAUUUACUAAUGUUAUUAAGCCUAAUAUCUUUUUUUUUUUUUAUGAUUUUGAAGAAUGUACCCAUGUUUUGAUACAAUAAAUUUUUUGGUUAAUUUUGAUGAAUGUACCCAUGUUUAUAUAUAUACACACACACAAUAGUAUAUUUAUAUUUUAAUAUUUUUAAUCCCACAAAUUAUGGUUUUUUUAUUUAAAAUCUCAUUUAUAUAAACAACUAAAAUUUCUAAUUUUUAAUUUAAAAAAUAUAGUAACAUACAUAGAAAUAAAUUAUCAUAUUAAUUUCAGGGACCUAGAUAAAAAAUUAAAAACUAAUAAGGUUUCAAUCAAAGAAUAUUCAUAAUUAAGGGCCGCAUCCAAAGUCUCCCUUUUUAAAUCUUGAUUUAUAGAUCAUUCUUGCAAAAAUUCAAGUCCGAAACCAUUUGCUAAUUUAAUUAUCACGAUAAAAUUUUAAUGUUUUAUUAGAACAAAACGUUCGUCAGCUCUUUGAACUCAAUUAGAUGCCUUAAAUAUUUUCGAUUUGGCUAAUAUUUUACAAAAUUAAUCUGGCACAUCCUGCCUCCACCAUAGCAAAAUAUUGUUCGCUUUGGGUCAUGCCCUCACGGAUUUGUUCUUGGGCUUCCACCCAAAACGCAUCAUGCUAAGAAGAGAUGAGCAUGUACAUAUAAAGCCAGGGACCAACCUUCACCCAACCGAUGUGGGAUCUUACAACCCACCCCCUUAGGGAGACCGAUAUCCUCGUCGGCACAUCCAAGCAGACGGUGAGUCUGGCUCUGAUUCCAAAUUGUCACAUCUCGCCUUCACCGUAACAAAAUAUUGUCUGCUUUGGGCCACCCUUCAUGGAUUUGUUCUUGGGCUUCCAUCCAAAACGUUUCAUGCUAGGAAGAGACGAGCAUGUACAUAUAAGGCCAAUGACCAACCUUCACCCCACCGAUAUGGGAUCUUACAUAAUCUAUGAAAUGAAACUUAAAAAAAAUACACAAUUCAAAUCUUUAAAAUUUGAUAUGGUGCCUUUCCCUUAAAAUGAGGUAGUGAUUUAGAUAGACCAUGUCAAUUUGCCAUGCCAAAUAUUAGGAAAGUAGAGUGUAGACAUGGGAAGAAAACCCAGCUUAGAUAUGGGACCCACAGGCACAUGCAGUUCUCAUCGAUCUCAAUAAUUUUCAACAAACCUUUAGAGCAAGUCCACCGGAGUGGUUUUUGCCCAGCACCCUGUCCAAAUAACAAGCUGAGGGACAGGGAAUUCACUUCAGCUCGUCGGGCUGCCUGGCACACAACCCAUGCCAGUCAACAAAUUAGCCCAUUUUUGACAGACCCAAGAGCCGGCCUAUUUGGCUGGCGCGUGGACUGCAUGCGCGCUUGGCAGCGAGUAGAAGACAAGCCGGCAGGCGCUGUUAGCCCACUUGUGCUGCAGCAACGUGGCUCGCUUAGAGCCGUUGGAUUUCCAACGGUAACAAAAAUUUAAAUUUUACUUUUAAACUGGACCUUUCGAUCACAGAUCAACGGUCCACGUUUUAUCCCCCUCCCCAAAAAAAGGGUCAAACGGUCAGAUUUAUAGCCGUUGGCCACGUGGCAGAUCAUGGGCUCUUGGAUUUGAAUAUUUUUCAAAUCCAACGGUCCAGAUUAAUUAACUACAUUAAAAUUAAUUAAAAAAAAUUAAAAAGUAUUUUUUUUCUAUAAAUACCUAACCCUCAUCUUCCACCUUACACCACAUUUCAAUAUUUUCUACACUUUCUACACUUUCUAUAAAUACCUAACCCUCAUCUUCCACCUUAGCGGAAAUCUAUUCACAAAAUAGUACGUUCGGAUAAUGACACGUGGCGUGACGAGAUUGGUUAAAAAUCCCAUCCGAAAUAAAACUAUUUUAUUUUUGUAUUCUUUUAGAAAAAAUUUAAAAAUAUUUUAAAUGGGCUGGGUGCCAGCGCAUUUUGUAGGGGUGGAGAUCGUUUGUGCCAGCGCAUUGUUUUAGGGGUGGAGAUGCAUUGGCCUAUUACUGUUCAUUGGAGUAUAUUACUGUUCACUGAAGUGGAUAAAUGGGCUGGGUGCUGGCACAAGGUCCUUAGGGGUGGACUUGCGCUUAUGUUUUGAUUCGAACAGUCUCCCACUUUCGAUUCUUCCAGUCCUACUGCAAUUGUCCUUUCGUGCUUUUUGCUCGGAGGGCAAGGAGCAAUUUUUACUCUUUACUUUAUAAGUUUAACCGCCCAUUAAAAAAAUAAUUUUUUUUUGAAAAUUAAAAUUGGUUUUCAGAAUUUUCUUUUCAAUUUUUGAUUUUCAAACGAAUCUUAUGAUGUUUAUAUGGGCAAAAUACAUUAACGUGUGCAUGAACAAAGAGGAGCACGUCGAAACCGAGAAAAAGUCUAAAUUUUUUUAUGUGGUUCAAUAUCUUAGUGAAUGAAGCGUUAGAUUUCUACCCAUGCAUUCUGGAUUUGAAAUCCUCCCAUUUUUUAAAUUAUUAUAAUAAUUUGAACAUCUCCUAAUAAUAUGGUACGAAUUUAUUGCUACCGUAAUAUUCCAAUCAAACAAAACAAUGACAUGUGUACAUUUUUCAAUACGUGACACUGACAUUGUAUAGUUAAAUUGAUCAAGGUGCUAUGUGGAAGAUGAUCAUCUCCAAAUCCAUUUUGUGGGAAUCCUAGGGAUUCUCACAUCAUAGCCAUUCAUCGUACAUCGUGCUUGUCAAUUUUCGUCGUGUACUAUUUGUGUUUAAUUUUAAAUAAAAAAAGUCAAAUGAUUUCUGACCACACACGAUGAAUGACUAAGAUAUGAGGAUCCUUAGGAUCCGGAUAGAAUCCAAAUCCGUACUACAUGACGAUAAAAUUGUUCUAUAUAAAUUGCUCUCUAAAAUUAGGUCGACAUCGUCCUUUUUUAAGUUGGAUACAACACACAAUUAGCCCUUGGAUUCGAAAAUACAAUUGGAUCGUCGUCAUUUAUACGAUUUAAUGGAACACUAGUCCAAAUUGGAGUGGGGCCCAUUUCCUUUCCAAUAAAAUAGCCACGUUGAUGUUGGACUGUUGGAUUAGCGACGUUGAUGAGCUUUUAGUGCGCUAUUUAGCUUUAACGUUGCAUAUGAUCCAUCACGUGACGAACAAUAUACGCGCCAGAUACAACGUUGUAACUUUUAACCUUUCUCCCCAUUAUCCACCUAAUUAUCUCAGCCUCCAUUUUAUGACAAUUUAAUAUCUACAAUCUUUUGCUAAUAGUUGGGGGGUUUUCUUAACUAAGAUGUUUGUGACUCUCUAAUGUAUACAAAAUUGUACAAGAUUAACCACAACCGUACAAUGAUGACUGAACUCUGAGUUCCCAAAGUGGACCACACUUAGGUGAUUCUGGAGAAAUUUAGGUGCAAUUGUCACACUGUCAAAUAAUGUUAAUCAGGUUUAAUAAUAAAAAAAUUAGUGUUGUCGAACCACAGCUAUACUGGAGGAAGAAAGUCCUCGUUAAAGGAGGGAAAAGUUGAUAUUGGUGUCACGCUCGACCUUGUCGAGGGGGAUGAAGGUGCGGUAGGUUUAAUACUCGAAUUAACCAAAGAGUGAUGUUAUCUGCACACCUUCUUUUAAGUCUCACACACUCCUUGUUAAUUUAUGUCACAUGAUCAUCUUUAAUUCAUUAGAUUCGAUGACCAAUUAUUGAGAGUUGUGUGUGAAAGAUAAAAAGAGGUUAGCAACACCCUUAACUAGAGGUGGUAAAUCAACAUGUUGGGUUGUUAAUGGUUACUCAUUAAGACUCAUUUAGUUUGAUUUCAGCUUACACCAUUAUCACCAUCACAAACCCUACCUCUAUAUUAUGAUGAUAUCAAAUUAAACGAGUCUUAACGGGUACUCAUUAACAACUAAAUGUGUUUAUCUCCACCUUUACACUUGUUGAUGCACAAAAUCGGGUCGAUCUUGGACCAACGUAAAUCCGACCGUGAAUCACAUAAACGCACAAGAACACAAAGAUAUAUCGUGGUUCACCUCAAGUUGAGGCUACGUCCACACUGGUGUUGAUUCCGUUUCACUAUGUAAAUGAAUGUUGAAUAUACAUGGAGGCUAUAGAGGCAGUGUUUACUCUCUUUGCUAUUCUGUUUGCUUUCUCGUUUCCCCUCUGUCUGUUUCCAUUUCUCUUUAAGUGAGUGUGAGGGAGCCAUUUUAUAAAAUAAGGGUUUCCUCCCAUCUUACAUGAAUCAUGGGCUAAGUAAUGAAGCCCAAAUACUGAGACCCAAUAUAUGGUACAACAUAAGUCCCCCAAGUCUUCAGUCAAGAGAGUCUUUUGGCUGGAGACUUCAAAUUCAAUCCAUGUGCAGGCUGAAAUGACUAGAUGUCGUUCAGAACUAGUACUCGACAUAAGACGGUGCUUAACAUGAAGCAAUAAUCAGCUAGAGGUAGCACACGUUGCGAGGCUGCUCGACUAGAGGCAAUGCUCGCGGCGAGGCGGUUGCUUGGCUGGAGGCGGUGCUGGUUACGAGACAGCUCAACUUGUGGCAUUCUUCAUUGCGAGUAUGCACUAAAUGUCAGUGUGUGCUCAUUAUGAGUUAACUUUCGACAUGACUCGGGUCCACUUGUCGAGUUCGCAUAUUGGGUCUAUGUGUCAAGUCCGCGGAUCAGGUCUAUAAGUCGGGUCUUUGAGUCGGGGCCAUCCGUAGGGUCUUUGAGUUGGGUCCGUAAGUCGAGGUUCGAGCUCAAAGGUGUCCAAUCUCGUAAGUGCCCGAAUGAAUGGGUGUCCAAGCACAUAGGUGUCCAAAUGAGCGAGCGUCUGAGCAAGUGGGUGUCUAAACGAGCGAGUGUCUAAGCAAGUGGGUGUCCGGUCAGACAAGAGAUCAUCGUUCGAACUAAAUCUUUGUCACCAUAAGCAUGUGGCUCAUCGAUCUAUAAGUUGAUCAGUAACAAUGUUGAUCAACGGAGUCCUGGCAAUAAAUAAUAGUAUAAGCAUGAAUGCAUAAUUAAUAAAUCAAUCACAGAGUUUGGCAAAAGUAUAAUGUCAUACUAUGCAAAUUGUGUGGUAAAUGACUUGUUUCAUAUGUGACAUAGUUAAUGACAUCACAGUAUCACUAGGCAAUGAAUAAAUAUUGCAUAAGUAAUUGCCUAAAUAUGUAGGUCAUUAGUGAAAUAUGAUAGAAAGCGUACUGAGCAUACGUGACUAUUGUAGCAUGUAAUCUUAAUAUAAUGACAAUGGGAAGACACACAAUAUAUUAUAUAAAUAUAUUUUCAUUCAAAUAAUGAGGAUAUCUAAUUUGGUCAGACCAUGCCACUAGCUAUAGUAAUUGUGGGGUGAUAAAAUAAUAAAAAUAAAGGUAUGUGGUAUAGUGGGUGUAAAGAAUAAAGAGGGUUUUAGGUGGAUUUGAUCAGUAGUCAUGUUGAAAAUAAAUAAAAUAUUUAAAUAAUGAAUUCAGUGUUCAUGAAUGAUUAAAGCUGGCAAGACUAAGGACAAGUGGUCUUGUAAUAAACAUUACAUAAUAAUAUAAAAUAUUAAUAGACAAUGACAUUGAGAAAACAUAAUGAUGGGUUUCUUUCAUGGCCGACAAUAUCAAAGGGGGAUAAUAAUAAAAUUAUUAUAAGCAAGCUUAUCUUUUUCCUGGUUUUCCCGUGGGUUUUUUUCAAUGGGAUAGUGGGUACAUGUCCUCGUGAAGAGCUACAAGGCACAUCAAAGCUUGGAGCUUGAAACCCAUUUGGGAUUUUGAGUUUGUGUAUAAGUAAAAGUGAAGCAGGAAAGCAAGAAGGUGAGCAGAAUGGUGAAGUUGGUGAACUUCGCUAUGGAUCCAACGGCUGAGAAACACUGAGGCUCUAUUUUCUCAUGCAGGUUUAGUUUGUAACAGUGAUGCUUAUGUUCUAAUUUAGCUCUCAAGAUCUGCACAGAAAAUGUAGAGAGAUAGAGAGAGAGAGAUGCGGUGGUGGCUAUGUUUCCAUCGUUGCUGCCGUGAUGGGGAGCUGGAACAGAAGACAUGGGUUUUGCAGUGAUUGUGCAGGUUUUUGGUUCUUAGGUUUCUACAGAUUCACGGUGGAGGUUGUGAGGUUUGAUGAAAAAAUGAAAGAGAACCAACAUAGCUUUUCGUGUCGUUUCCCACAGACGGCGCCAAAUGUUGAUGCACAAAAUCAGUGAGGACUGUGGUACAACAGAAAGUGUUAAGUUUGUGACCUUAGCUAGAUUGCUCCGGUCACUAGUGUGGAUAAGUAUGUAAAUGGAUAGAGACAAGGAAUCAAACUCAAGAUGUACGUGGUUCAUCCAGAUUCGCUACGUCCACGAAGUAUAUGAGUUCUCUUUAAUUGUGAAAGAUUUACACAAGUACAUAGGUUCAAGCUCUCAUUUAGUGAGUACUAGUGAAUGAUUUAGUACAAAUGACAUUAGGGAUUAUUAUGGGAGAAUGAUCUCCUUUUAUAGAAGAGAGUUUCUAGUUUUGUUCUGGCCUUGACACAUGUCAUGCUAUGAUUGGCCUUUGAUGUUGACACGUGUCGUCCUGUGAUUGGCCUCUUGGUGUUGACACGUGUUACGCUGUGAUUGGCCUCCUAGUUUGAGGGAAACUCUUCUGGGUCCUUGAUGGUAUAACGUUGACCAGUGCUUGGUAGUUUCGAGAUUGAUCAAGUAUGGUACAAACAACACUUAACCAAAUAAUGACGAAAGGUUGACAUUUCAUAUCGUCUUCUUUCAUAAGCUUGAUAGUCAUAAAAUAGAAAUAAGGAUCCUCUUCGAAUUAUCUUUGUGAGGAUCCCGAGGAUUCAUGAACUGUGUCCAUUCAUCGUACAUCGUGCAAUCAGAAAUCAUUUUAAAUUUUAUUAUUUAAAAUUGAACACAAACAGUAUUUAACAAAAACUGGCCGCAAGAUGUACGAUGAACGAACACGAUUCACAAAUUUUAGAAAUCCUCAUGAAGAGGCUUCAGAUUCAUAAAAUAUUGUAUAGAUAUGUGUUAGACCAAAAGCGAGGUAAUUACACUACACGACAAUGUGACAUUCAAAUUGAAAAAAUACUCAUUACUCUCAAGUCUAAAGAACACUUAGCUACACUCAAUCUGUAUCGUGACAUGGAUAAUGUUUUUCACACCUAUUUUUACUUUCUACAUACCUUGGUUAAGUUUUGGUCAUUGAUUUUUUUUUUCAAUUCAUAACAGAAAAUUAAGAAUGAUGGGUGAAAAGUAAAAAUAAAUAUGUGAAUAGCACUACCAUGUGACAAUCCUGAAAUUAAACUUUUCCACAUUGCAAUGCAUAAUUAGUCUUUUUAUGCAGUUAGAUAACUUUAGGGUUUACGUGUGAUUAAUUGAACUAUAACAUGAGGUGAUAAUGAAUUACUUAUCCACUUAACUCGUCAAUUAUACAACUAAUUUAAUACUUUACUUAAAUGCAAGUGACGUCUACAGUACUAGGCUCGGUCAAUGUAUGAUUGACUUUAUACAAUGUCACAGUCAUAGUGGUAUUGAAGGAAUUCGGAUCCUCACCGGAUUUUCUUUGUAAGGAGCUUGAAGAUCUGUGAAUCAUAUCCAUUCAUUGUAUAUCGUGCGGUCAUAAAUUAUUUUAAAUAUUUUUAUUUAAAAUUAAAUACAAACAGUAUCUGACAAAAACUAACUGCACAAUGUACGAUUAACGGACACGAUUUACAGAUUUCCAUUAACCUUACCGAAAUGAUCCGGAGAUGGACUCAGAUCCUCUCCGGAUCAUUUCCGUGGGGAUCCUUCUGACCUAUUAAUCUCAUCCGUUGAUACUAAUCCAACGGCCAAAUGAGUUUCGCGUCUUUUCUCUCUUUUCUCCCUUACGCUCUUCCCCUCAACCCUUCAUUCUCCCUCAAUUCGAAGCACCCGACCCGCUGCCACCAUGUUACGAACUGGAUUUGAACCAGCAUCCCAAAAUUCCCCGGAAAACUUCCAUUUAUAUUCUGAUCGUGACUAUGGUCUUCCAACCCAGCAACCCCCAACCUCCCCUGCUGCAAAUUGAAUAAAGUCCGAAUUCAAAGGACCUACAAAAAUAUCACUAAACGUACUGCAAAAAUUAAAGAUUCAGAGAUAAGAAAUACAAAAGUUAACAAGGAAUUUAAUUGGGGUGGGCUGGGGCUGAAGAAGAUUGAGAAGAUGCUGGUGUGGCGUUGGUGGGUGCUUCUAAGUGAGAGGAGAAAGAUGAAGAGUCGAGGGAAGAGAGAGAGAAAGAGGUGAAAAUAAUUUGGCCGUUGGAUUUGUCCCAACGGUUGAUAUCAAUCGGUCAAGAGGAUCCUUACGGAAAUGAUCCGGAGAGGAUCUGAGUCCUCCGGAGAUGACCAAGUUGGGUAUUGAAGGGCAGAAAAGUCGUCCUCACCCGCUCCAUAAAGUAGGGGUAUUUCCGUCAUUCCAUGUGCCUUGAUCCGAAGUUCAACCCAAAAUUUAAGUGGGCCGUCGAUUACUCCUAAGCACGAUUCCCGUGAUUGACGGUGGAUAGAGUGCCGCGUGGUUACUCCCUUCCCCACUCUGUCUACCCCCGGUAAAUCCAUCUCUUCUACGAGGGCACGAGACCUCACUCUCUAUUUCUCUCUCUCUGUCUUUCCUCCUCUGAGCUUCCAAAAUGCUCAUUUCUUCCUUCCGGCUACCGCCCGCCAGCUGAAGCAGUUGCAGAAGCAGCAGCAGCCACAGAGAGAAGCUGAGCAUGGCGGCAUUCCUCAUUGUCCUCCUCACAUCUCUCUACUAGCUCUCACCACCCUCCCCGGCGCCGAAUCCCGACUCUACACCAACUACUACCAAAAAUCGUGCUCGAGAUUCGCUCAAAUCGUCCAAGACACCGUCACAAAUAAGCAGAUCAUGAAUCCUACCACCGCCGCCGCCAUUCUCCGCCUCUUCUUCCACGACUGCCUCGCCAACGGCUGCGAGGCCUCCAUCCUCCUCUCCUCCACCCCCUUCAACAAGGCGAUGGAGAAGCUCGGCGUGUUAGGGAUUCAGACCGGAAGGCGGAGAGAGAUUAGGCACAGGUGUCGAUAUCAACCUCUCAAAGAACAGAGAAGCAGGAACUACUCGCUGUGCACCAGUUCAUAAAUUGGUCCAUCGCUGGUAUGCGUUUUAACUCUUCCCUAUUAGGUUAAUAUUUAUACUUCCAUUAUUUUCAGCAAAUGGUCUCUUGUCCCGGCUUACUUCCAUAUUUCUCGGUUUUGCUCCCACAUUUCUUGGAUUCCUGGGAUUGUAGGGAUCCCAAAAUCGUAACCGUUCAUCCUAUAUCUUCGGUUAAAUUUCGUUAAGUACUAUUUAUAUUUAAUUUUAAAUUUUAACGGUGCACUGGCCCUUGUACUCAUCUCGUGGGUACUAGUUGAAAACACACUUAUUUACUCAAGUAAGGUGAAAAGGUUGUCAAGUUCCUUUAGCGAUAUGGAGGAUAACGUCAUACUUGAUGGUAGAUACUCUCGGAUGUCUUUUGUGGCUUUAGAUGGUUUUAUUCAACGUUGCUUUCUUUGGAACGGGAAACUUUGCGAGUAUUGCAAGUUUUGGGAUUUCAUCAGUGUAUCGGUUCAUUACCGUCUUCAGUGUAAGUGAAGGUUGAACUUUCCUGGGCAUUAACGCUGCUAAGGCACACCUCUUGCGGUCUUCUGCAAUUUUUUGCCCUUUAUUCCUGCAACUGCUGAUUGCUCGUACAAAGUUCGAUUGAAAUUUAAUGAGAGUCAGAGCAAUGGGAUUUUCCAAGUGUUCCCCAAAGAUCUCACAACGUUCGAUUGAAAUUUUGGCACUCUUCUCACAUCUCUUGAUUAGUUGAUACGAUUUAACCAGUUAUCCCAUUUAGUUAUUCAUUGAUCGAUUUUGUAACUACAUUUAACCAGUACAUACUCCACUUUUGGCUGUCUGAAAUAUUUGAUUGGUCGUAGAUUAAAUGUUACUAUCUUCCAUCUCGAAACAAUAAAAGUUGGCCCUAUAUUGGGACAAAUUAUUGGCUGCGAACGACCAGACUACAUGGUUGUUUAAGAGCAUCUUUAACCGGAGUCCCAGCACUAUUUUUGAAGAAUCAUUUACGAACUUAAAGGGAAUAUACUUGUUCCCAAAAGAAAAUUAGUUCCAAUGGAGUGUCUUAUAGUAUAAUCUUUAAAUUUAGAUACUACGAAUUAAAAAAUCAUUGUUAAUUUCACAAUGAGAAACCUAAAAUAACUUUCACAACCGUUGUUUUCUCAUCAAACCAAAGAGAAAAGUAACGGGACCUGCCCCAUUGGAAGCUGCACAGUAUUUUAGAGUUCCAUCACGUGCUCACGUGCUAGGGACUUUCCCCGAAGAAAGAUGGUAAUCUACUAUAAAACCAAGAGUAAUGUUAUCUACAUACUUAUUUUACUUUUAAUACAUCCAUAUACAAUCCUUAAUUGUAAGGUAAUUUUGGCGGUCUCCGGGCAGUCCCUAUAUUAUAGGGAUUGGAGUUCCGAUCCACCGGAAGUCACCAAGUUCUUAACUUUAAGGAUAUAUGGUGGUAAGAACAAGUAUAGGAACAAACAUUGAAGAUGCUCUAAUUGCACGCACAAAACACCCAUUCUUGCCGAUGGUCCCACCCUGCGCCCCUUGCGCGCGUGCGAGCUUCCGAACUCAAGGAUUGCCCCUUGUAAUUGUAAAAGCAAAGAAUAGAAAAAGACGACCAUAUUGUACUGCUGGUAGGUGAACUGGGAAAGAAACAGAACGGUCGACGGCCAUACCCGAGCCCUCAGAUUCACUAGUUAGAUUACUUUGUAAAUUUCUUUGCAUCCUUCCGGAACGUUCAGUCGUUAAAAUCAGCAAUGUAUUAACCUGCUCCAAAUAUUCAUUGCAGGGAGCAAGAGGGAAUAAAUAAUGCAAGUGGGAAUAAUUAACCUGAAUUUUAACACGUAAACGUACAAAAGAAGACAAGGAAAAGCUUCGAGGUCUAGGGCCCUCCCUUUUUCUCCGAGAAACUUUCAGGAAUAAGUUGCGUGGACGACGACCUAGACUUUGCUGUGCAUCGUCGACUUGGGGGGAAGCUUCGUCGUGCGGCCUUUUGAUUGGUGAGACAAAGACGUCCAUAAUAUUUAAUAACGAUAGGAUUGAUUCGUAUUCUAUAUAAAGAGAGAUAUAUUGACCAUUCCGGUAUCCUCUUCUCUCCAUCUACUGUGUGUUUUAAGCAGAUCGGCAAAAGCUUGAAGAUGAACGACCGGUAAGUCAACUUCGACUUCAAACUUCUCCGAUCCUUGUUUUUCUUUGAAUCCUUUGCCAUGAUUUUUCUUGUGUUGUCUUGAUUGAGCGGAAAAUGGUCUGGAAUGGCUAAAAGUGUGUUUUUCAACUAUCAAAAGUUCUUAUGGUUGAAUCUGGCAAAAAAAACUUGCAAAACGCUUUUAGAUAGACGGUAUAAGCUCUUUUCGGAGAAGCAUGUGCUAUGUCCGCCCUCUACAAGCACUUCUAUAUUUUCAAGUGCUUUUUCGAAUAGCACUUGAGUAUUUAAUAAACAUUUCUAUAUGUUCAUAGUAAAAGAUAAGUGCUUAUGAGUAAAGUGAAUCUUACGAAAUACAUUAGCUUAAUAAUCGUCCUUAUAGUUUACCAAAUUGCAAUUUCAUUCUUACAAGUAUUUUGCUAAAGUGGCUUCGUUAGAAAUAGGUAGUAUUAUCUACGCAUUUAUUUUUACUUGUCAUACACGAGAGAGGAUCCUCGCCGGAUCCUCUUUGUGAGGAUUACGGGAAUCCUUCAAUCACAUCCGUUCAUCGUACAUCAUGCGGUCAGUUUUUGUUAGACGCAAAAGUUUCAACAGAAGUUUCAAGCAUGUUUGUUAUUAUAGUUGGAUGCUAUUUGCUUACACCCUCGAUUUAACUUUGCUUCAAUUUUUUGUUGGUGAUGACAGAAUUAGCAGUGCUGGGCUUGAACUAGCAAAUGUGCUGGUGACUUCUCCUCCCCUGCAGCAGUCAUGGGACGCGGUUCUUGAUCAGAUGCAAAAGCUCCCCCCAGCAGCUGAUCCGAACCAAAAAAUGGCCUUAGACAUUAAUGAAACCAAGCACUCAAACACCGCCAUCAUAUCUUUUCUUACUUCACCCGUCACGCUUCACGAUCAACAAACGAUGGUUUCAUCGUUGACUCUCAAGAAUGCAGAUUUUUCUCUCUUUGAGUUUUUGUGCGGCAAAAACAUCCCAAGUUUCUCCGUCAAUGAAUUGGCAAUCAAUUUCUUCAAAUUGAACCUGAAAAACCUCGAUAUUUGGCGAAAAAAGGUGCGUAUUAUUGUCUCUCUGGUAACUGAUAAUGUUUAAUCGUUUUGACAACUCUUAAUAGUGAGAAACAGUUAAAAAAUCAUAAUUAUAUUGCUAGAUUACUUUUCACUUAAUUAGUUUGGAUUCUUUGACAAACUGUUAAUGUUAACGAAAAACGCUUACAAAACCGAGUUUAAGUGUUUUUUCUUUUACUAUGAAAGAAGUUUGAGGAACUUAUUUGUAAAGACUUCUCCGAAUUGAUUAUAUAGAAAUUCAGUAAUUGACUAACUUUUAUGUAAUAUUUCAGCUGGUAGAAAUGUUAGAAAGCAGCAAAUCCUCACGGAUAGUUAUCACUGGACAUUCUUGGAGGUGCUGUGGCUACCCUUUUCACCUUAUGGCUGCUACAAAGCCUUGACUUGUUGAAAGCGAAACGCCUCCUUUGCAUCACUUUCGGUUCACCCUUGAUCGGUGACGAACAACUCCGACAAUGUGUGUUGGAAUUCUCAACAUGGAGUUCUUGCUUCUUGAAUGUAGCCUCCAUCAAUGAUCCUGUACCUAAAGUCUUCCUAACUUCGCAAGGGAGUGGUUAUAAGCCUUUCGGAACAUUCCUACUGUGCUCCUCUUCGGGUGGUUCUUGCAUUGAGGACGCUGAUGCCAUUUUGCAACUAUUGGUGGAAACCAGCUCUCAGUGUGUUCAAAAUCCAGUUCCGAAUUCAGGGACUCAGUUGUUUGAU
rnacentral:lncRNA from 1 species